UACGAAGGGGGCUAGCGUUGCUCGGAAUCACUGGGCGUAAAGCGCACGUAGGCGGUCUCUUAAGUCGGUGGCGAAAUCCUGGAGCUCAACUCCAGAACUGCCUUCGAUACUGGGAGUCUCGAGUUCGGGAGAGGUGAGUGGAACUGCGAGUGUAGAGGUGAAAUUCGUAGAUAUUCGCAAGAACACCAGUGGCGAAGGCGGCUCACUGGCCCGAUACUGACGCUGAGGCACGAAAGCGUGGGGAGCAAACAGG
rnacentral:rRNA from 1 species